rnacentral:rRNA from 1 species
AAGGGUGCCAGCGUAAUCGGAAUACUGGGCGUAAAGGGUGCGUAGGCGGUUGUUUAAGUAUGUCGUGAAAUCCCCGGGCUCUACCUGGGAAUGGCGAUGGAUACUGGGCAGCUAGAGUGUGUCAGAGGAUGGUGGAAUUCCCGGUGUAGCGGUGAAAUGCGUAGAGAUCGGGAGGAACACCAGUGGCGAAGGCGGCCAUCUGGGACAACACUGACGCUGAAGCACGAAAGCGUGGGGAGCAAACAGUAUUAGAUACCCUGGUAGUCCACGCCCUAAACGAUGCGAACUGGAUGUUGGUCUCAACUCGGAGAUCAGUGUCGAAGCUAACGCGUUAACUUCGCCGCCUGGGGAGUACGGUCGCAAGACUGAAACUCAAAGGAAUUGACGGGGGCCCGCACAAGCGGUGGAGUAUGUGGUUUAAUUCGAUGCAACGCGAAGAACCUUACCUGGCCUUGACAUGUCCGGAAUCCUGCAGAGAUGCGGGAGUGCCUUCGGGAAUCGGAACACAGGUGCUGCAUGGCUGUCGUCAGCUCGUGUCGUGAGAUGUUGGGUUAAGUCCCGCAACGAGCGCAACCCUUGUCCUUAGUUGCCAGCACGUAAUGGUGGGAACUCUAAGGAGACUGCCGGUGACAAGCUCGGAGGAAGGUGGGGAUGACGUCAAGUCAUCAUGCCCCUUAAGUCCAGGGCUUCACGCAUGCUACAAUGGCUGGUACAAAGGGCUGCGAUACCGCAAGGUGGAGCGAAUCCCAAAAAGCCUAGUCUCAGUUCGGAUUGGGGUCUGCAACUCGACCCCAUGAAGUCGGAGUCGCUAGUAAUCGCAGAUCAGCAACGCUGCGGCGAAUACGUUCCCGGGCCUUGUACACACCGCCCGUCAAGUCAUGAAAGUCGGUAACACCCGAAG